CCUCUGCUUGGGCACAGGAAUAACCCAAAACUAUACGGAGCUACCAAGUACCAAUGGUGGUGUGCAUUUGGUACUGUGUCGAAUUGUAGGACAGUUAUGUUCCUGUUGCCAAACAGUCUGUGAUCUGAGACAGGGCUUAGGCCUUGGGGUUUAAUAUUAGGGCAACGUCGUCAUCGGAAAAUCUCCAUCCGCUUCGAAAAAAACCCAUAAACCCUAGAGUCCUCUGCCUUCGUGGCUUCGGAACAAGUGAUCAGAGAUCCUUACGGCGCAGAUAAGUAAAUGGCUGGAAACUGUUCUCCGAAAUCUCGAUCUCGAAUUCCUCGAUGGUCCGUUUCCGAUCGAAGGCUUCUUCCUCCCACCGUGUUACGAUCCGAACCAGAGUAGCAAGGUUCAUCUCGAAAGUACCCUCUUUUUUUGUUAUAAUUACGAAUCAGUUUCACGUCCGACAAAAAAAAGUUCAGAUUUUGUUUUAUAAAACUGGCAAGGUUUAUUGACGAAUUGCGAUUGGGAUGAUGACGUAGUAGAAAUUUGAUUCCGUUUAAUGGUUAUGGAGUGACUCGAUAAAGUUUUAGACGUUGGGAGCUGAAAACAGAGAGGCUCUGCAUGGCGAACGUCGUUCCAGUGUUGAUGUUGAACUCGAAUGCUUGACCGAGUUAAGUCUGCUGCUGUAACAGGGACGCAAAAACAGGGGAAUAGGAUUUCUUGAAGGAAGAAGGCAAAGCUCUGUGAUGUCAUCAAAGAGGGCAUGUCCUUGGUUAGCGAAAACCAAAAACGCAACAAUCUUUUAUGAUUUCUUGGUACGCUAAAGCUGGUACGAGAAUGGGAAGAUUAAUUCUAUAGUGAAACAAGAGAUUUAUACUUAUGGAUCGAUUUCUUGGUAGAUAUGGGAAGUUCUGAGAUUAUUUGGGUUUCUCUCCUCUUUUGCAUACGAGAAGGCCAAGGAAGAAACCUCGAGCUUCUUCCAGAGGUUCAGAUGAUGCUUUCUGACGACACAAACUGAUAAUGUUCUAUGCUUAGUGACUUGGUUUACUUACGGAUCGAAGUCGAUUUGCCGUGGUGGAAUUCAACCUCAUUCGGUUUUCAAUUCAA